GUAGCGCGGUGCGCACGCGCCACCUCUCCUUCCCCCACUCCUUAACCUCAACUGCCCCCAACGGCUUUUCAGGCCCUAUCGCGUGACCUACGGCGAUGCACCCUUCCCCCUCUCUUUUAAAGAAAAGCGGCAUAGUCAAAAGUCAGGCGACUUCUCUCUUUGUCUCUAAGUAUGGUUGUACUCCGUCCGGUAAUAACUUCUAUUCGUGGGCACCCGGGAGGAGGCUCGAGAAUCCCUCCAAUACUUCCCUAUAGCCUUGAGAUUUAAUUCUGCAGUUCCGCCCCACACUAAGCCCCCAUUUCAGAUUUCUAAAAAGAAUCAGUAGGGUCAGAUUAGGACCCCAGUCUGGCCUGGGCACCGUCUCCGGCGCCGAAGCUGACCGGUGACGUCACAAUGCGGUCUCAGACGAGCCUUUGGAACGGCCAGAGGAAGGAGUCAGUAGCCCACGCAGGGAUCCAAGUUCCGUGACACCAUCAACGUGCGACCUGCCCGCUGGAAGGAAGCCAAGUAUAGGACAAAAAUGCUACGGCUGCUCUCGGCCAGCGGCACCCUGGGACCUCCAGAGGUCAUGGUGCAGGGAAAAGAGCAAUGAGGAAGCGAGAAGCUUUUUUACUACAUGUCUUCAGAGACCCACUUGUGCUGGGCAGGGAGUGAGGCCUUGAAGAGCAUUUUUUGGAGGAGUGGACUAUGACCUCUGCAUCCUUGCUUUGGACUUGAUUGGUGGGGCAGCUAGGUGGCUCAGUGGAUAAAGCACGGACCCUGAAUUCAGGAGGACCUGAGUUCAAAUGUGACUUCAGACACUUGACACUAGCUGUGUGACCCUGGGCAAGUCACUUAACCUUCAUUGCCCCACUAAAAAAACAAAAAAACAAAGACUCAGGACUUGAUUGGCCAAUUGUUGCUUCUUGUUCCCAGCAGCUUCCUUCCUCUUCCAGAUUCUGUGGUCUCUGGGCCAUGAGAACUUCAUACCUAUUUUGGUGUGGACUUCAUGAAAUUUGCCCUUUAACCUCUUCCUAUCCCAGAAGAAAAGGGAAGCCUGACAUAUCCUGGCCCUGCUCUUCCAAUUCAGUUUGGAAAAGUAAUGCUCCUUAAGAAUUGGGAUUAUGAAGGCAGCAGUCCUUGCUUCAUCCUGCCCUAGCCUCUUCCACCAACCUUACAUACAUAUACUUUAUGGGUCUAAUUCUGAUGACUAACCUACCUGGAAGAUUCAGACAAUGACUUGGAUAGCUGAUGGGCUGAUGGACUGACUAUGAGGCCUGACUAACCUUGACCUGCGUCCUGCAGCUAUACAAUGUAUAGUCACACUUCAUCUUGUAGAUUAGUUUCUAAAAUCAGUGUGUGAGCCACAAAGUGAUAUAGUUGAAAUGACUCAUAAAAUACAUUAUAGUAUCUUUAAUUUAAACAGUUGUAGCUGGGGCAGCUAGAUGGCGCAGUGGAUAAAGCACCGGUCCUGGAUUCAGGAGUACCUGAGUUCAAAUCCAGCCUCAGACGCUUGACACUUACUAGCUGUGUGACCCUGGGCAAGUCACUUAACCCUCAUUGCCCCGCAAAAAAAAAAAAAAGAAUUAAUGGUUAAUAGUACUGAAAACCAGUGACUAGGAGAAAAUAUACUCUUAAGUGUUAUUCUAUUAAA